AGAGUUUGAUCCUGGCUCAGGACGAACGCUGGCGGCACGCUUAACACAUGCAAGUCGAACGAGAGAAGAGAAGCUUGCUUUUCUGAUCUAGUGGCGGACGGGUGAGUAACACGUGAGCAAUCUGCCUUUCAGAGGGGGAUACCGAUUGGAAACGAUCGUUAAUACCGCAUAAUAUAAUUGAACCGCAUGAUUUGAUUAUCAAAGAUUUAUCGCUGAAAGAUGAGCUCGCGUCUGAUUAGCUAGUUGGUAAGGUAACGGCUUACCAAGGCGACGAUCAGUAGCCGGACUGAGAGGUUGAUCGGCCACAUUGGGACUGAGACACGGCCCAGACUCCUACGGGAGGCAGCAGUGGGGAAUAUUGCACAAUGGAGGAAACUCUGAUGCAGCGAUGCCGCGUGAGGGAAGAAGGUUUUAGGAUUGUAAACCUCUGUCUUCAGGGACGAAAAAUGACGGUACCUGAGGAGGAAGCUCCGGCUAACUACGUGCCAGCAGCCGCGGUAAUACGUAGGGAGCGAGCGUUGUCCGGAAUUACUGGGUGUAAAGGGAGCGUAGGCGGGAUCGCAAGUCAGAUGUGAAAACUAUGGGCUUAACCCAUAAACUGCAUUUGAAACUGUGGUUCUUGAGUGAAGUAGAGGUAAGCGGAAUUCCUAGUGUAGCGGUGAAAUGCGUAGAUAUUAGGAGGAACAUCAGUGGCGAAGGCGGCUUACUGGGCUUUAACUGACGCUGAGGCUCGAAAGCGUGGGGAGCAAACAGGAUUAGAUACCCUGGUAGUCCACGCCGUAAACG
rnacentral:rRNA from 1 species